AAGAAAAGCAGCAUGGGAGAGCUAAAACAAUCAAACCAUCGAACUCAAGAUCAUCUCAUCUGAAGAAAACAAGAAUCAUAAAGAAAGAGGACACCCUCUGUAACGGUCCUGCCACAAAGCCUGCCUGUCUAGUGCAUUGGGACACAUCUGUUGCUAUGGGCUAAUGGUGAAGGAUCAGCCAACAGAAGUGUCUGAAUGAGUCAUGAAUUCAGAGGCUAACUCAGAUGUAGCAAGUCCUUAAAGAUGAAGACCAGCUCUUUGAGUUGCCACCUGAAGUGAACUGGAAGCCAAGGGAGGCUCCAGAUGAAAUGAGUCACAGUGGUACAGGCUGGAGGUGAUGAAACCCUGUUACACUGUGACCAUAUCCCCAUGUGACAGGAAGUUGUGCAGUUUCCUGUUAAGCUGGAGAUGGAAGGAAUCACUUCUUAAAACUGCAGCUACCUGGAGAUUAGAGAUGAUGCAUUCAGGAAGAUCUCAGGACAUCGUCCUAAGUGAUGACAAGAAGGUGGAGGGCAGAUACCUUUGACAGAGGAAGUGAUGUGUGUUAAACACGUGUGUUCAACAGAGCAACGAUCUGAAGGGAAAUGGAUAAACUGGUGUCUGCUGUAUCUUUGGGAGCACCUAAUCUCAGUUUCCCAAUACAAAUCAACAGAUGUACAAGAACAGGGUGAAUAACUCAUUGCCCUGAAAAAAUCCAGUCUUACAGGAAAUUCCUUUAUAACCAGAAAGAGGAACCUCAGGUCAUGGAACUAUUUCCUCACUUCUUCCAGCAUGCCAUUAGGAGAACAGUGGCUUGUAUGAAGAUAUUGUUUCUGAUUAAACUUAAAAAACAACAAAUGGUCUGGUAGCAUUUUAAAGACUAACAAAACAUGU